rnacentral:rRNA from 1 species
UACGGGGGGGGCAAGCGUUGUUCGGAAUCACUGGGCGUAAAGCGCACGUAGGCGGAUUGUUAAGUCAGGGGUGAAAUCCUGGAGCUCAACUCCAGAACUGCCUUUGAUACUGGCGAUCUUGAGUCCGGGAGAGGUGAGUGGAACUCCGAGUGUAGAGGUGAAAUUCGUAGAUAUUCGGAAGAACACCAGUGGCGAAGGCGGCUCACUGGCCCGGUACUGACGCUGAGGUGCGAAAGCGUGGGGAGCAAACAGG